CCAAUAAACACCAAAGAAGAAGAAGAAGUGUGCGAGCACGAGCACUUGUGCCACCGUGGGCAUUUUCAAAAGAUUUUUGCGUGCUUUUUGCUGAUGGUUUGUUAAGGUAACAAAAACAAUUGUUUUCGGCUGUAAGUUAUUUACUUCCACAGUCUAUAAAUAUGUAAGCAUAACACUGUAAUGGUAAUGUUUAAAGUGUUGUCAGGUGGCAAUUGAAGCAAAAUAAACCCUUUGAAAUUAGCCGCGAAAUUAACUUGUCUCAUUCUGAAGGGACAUAAAACAUGAUGGCGCAAGCAACCACGAAGAAGGAAGAUAUUCAUUCUGUAUAUUACGAAACACUGAAGAUAAUACCACCGCAAUAGAUUCUGUAUGUAAUUGAUUUUAUUCUACAUUGAGGACACUUUAUAAAACCUACAGAGGAUGGUACCCAGCGGCCUUCACUAACAUGACGCAGUUUGAAAUUCUGACCGUAAACGGUCAUCUGACAGACGGACGGAUGGGUGCUAAGCCAAAGGCAUAUGCUAAGAACACACUUAAGCAGAAGUGUCAACGCAGGACUAUUUAAUGGAUUAUGCAUUCUUUUGUGUGGUCGAAUUGUGGUCACCGUAGCCACCUGGACCCAGUCUGUAUCCAUAUCAGAUGGUCACUGCAGUCACCUGGAUCCAGUCCAGAUGGUGGAGACAACUCUACAGCCUUGAAUGUCAGCAGAGACCAUGUCAACUAAUUGAGCCCCAAAGACAGAUCCCCAGUGAAGGCCUCAUCAACUAUACGGCCAUUGGCACAAAACCUCAACAAAGACCACGAUGAAAAACACCAUGUUGGUUCAUCUGGCCAGAGGAGAACUGGCCCCCCGACUGAGCCUGGUUUCUACCAAGUUUUUUUCU